AGGGGAGGGGUGUGGGGAGAUGGGUGAGCCUGGUGGUGGGUAUUAAGGUGGGCAUGUAAUGCAUGGAACACUGGGUGUGGUGCAUAAACAAUGAAUUUUGGAACACUGAAAAAA